rnacentral:rRNA from 1 species
UGGGGAAUAUUGCACAAUGGGCGCAAGCCUGAUGCAGCAAUGCCGCGUGAGUGAAGACGGCCUUAGGGUUGUAAAACUCUUUCGCUAGGGAAGAUAAUGACGGUACCUAGUAAAGAAGUCCCGGCUAACUCCGUGCCAGCAGCCGCGGUAAUACGGAGGGGACUAGCGUUGUUCGGAAUUACUGGGCGUAAAGAGUUCGUAGGCGGACUAGCAAGUUAGAGGUGAAAUCCCAGGGCUCAACCUUGGAACUGCCUUUAAAACUGCUAGUCUAGAGACCGGAAGAGGUUAGGGGAAUACCUAGUGUAGAGGUGAAAUUCGUAGAUAUUAGGUGGAACACCAGUGGCGAAGGCGCCUAACUGGUCCGGUACUGACGCUGAGGAACGAAAGCGUGGGGAGC